UCUCAGGCUAAGUCGAUGAGCCUCUCUUUAGUUUCUUUUGUUUGACUUUACACUUUGCUUUACUUUUCCUUUUAGCUACACAAUGUACAUUUCUUUCUCCUUUUGUUUGUUUUUCUCAAACUACCUUUCAACUUAUAACAUGUUUGCCUUUGAUUUUUUUAAAAGAUGUCUUUCAUUUUCUACUUUCCUCCUUCUUUCUGUCAACCCUUUGUAAACAUCUCUAUCACUUCCUUGUGUCAAACAUGCUCUCAUCUGUGAAUUAUCACUUUAUAGGGUCUUACAAACUUCUCAGGAAAGUUAAACAUUUGCACUACAAAAAUGGCAAACUGCUUAUUCCUGGUUUGGUGACCAACAUGUGAGGAGACCUGAAAGAUGUGCCAGAACUGGAACAAGCAAGCUGUCACUGUGUUAUAAGUACCAGUCCUUGACACCUGAGACUGGAAUGUUUUCAAUUAUAUAAUAUUAAAAUCUGUAACUUGAGGUAUUCCACCUAAAGACUUGCACCGUCUUCAAAGGCAGAAUAGCUAUGUGUAUGGCUAAAGGCUGUCAACUAAAGGCAUGAAAUUACUAAAAAAAAACUAAAUAAGACUAUUAUUA